GAUGAAGAACGCAGCGAAAUGCGAUACUUGGUGUGAAUUGCAGAAUCCCGUGAACCAUCGAGUCUUUGAACGCAAGUUGCGCCCGAAGCCUCGGCUAAGGGCACGUCUGCCUGGGCGUCACGCAUCGCGUCUCCCCCAAACCGCCAAGGCGGAGGGGAAGGAAGAUGGCUUCCCGUGCCUCACCCGGGCGCGGUUGGCCUAAAUUUGGAGCCCGCGGCACUUAGCUCUCGCGGCGAUAGGUGGUGAACAAGGCCUUGGCCGUGCAAACAACCCGCUGCGAAGCUCUAUGUCACGUGCGCUCGUCGGACCCUUUGAAGUUGCCUUUGGUGACUUAAAACCUUUGCGACCCCAGGUCAGGCGGGGCUACCCGCUGAAUUUAAGCAUAUUAAUAAGCGGAGGA
rnacentral:misc_RNA from 1 species